rnacentral:lncRNA from 1 species
AGCUUCGAGAGUUGAGUAUAUAUAGUGAGGUUUUCAGAUAUUUGGGGAGGAAGAAAAAAAAUUCGGAGAUUUUUCUGAGUGGAUUUUUAGAAUUUGUCAUCCGAAAAAGAAGUCUUUGGUUUUUUUUCCUGAUAUUUUAGGUCAUCCUCUUUGAUUUAGUUUUUUUUUUCAGUUUAUUCUUUGAUAUCCAGAAACAGAAAAACACAAAAAAUUAUUACAUGUAUUUGGCUUCUUGAUUUGAUUUUCCAACGAUGGAAUUUGAUUAAGGAUGGUCUGAGUUCGUCGGAGUUGAAGAUUAUUUUUCCGUUUCGAGUUUUGUUAGUGUUUUGUGUUUCUCGUUGCGGUCUCAUCUCUUUAUUUCCAGCAGCUAGGAAAGAAGGAUUUGGUUGUAAACGACAUUUUUCAUUGCUGUUGUUAAAAGAAGAAUUACUUAACAGGUGGAUUUCCUUUUCCCCACUCUUUAUUUUUCUUGAAUCGAGCUUAGAAGAAGCCAUGAAUAGACAUAUUUAAAUUUCAUAGUGAUAACAAAUUUGUUCAUCCAUCUUCUGUUCGUUCCAUUUCAUUAUAGGAGGUGUGUCCAAGUUGAUAGUUCUAUGUCAGUUGUGCUCUUUUGAGUAUUUUGUGUGAAGUGAUUAGCAUGGUUAUGUGUUCUUUCUUUCUUUUUCUCUUUCCCUGGUUUAAAAGAAUGAAUCAACUUUUCUCAAGGUUCUCAUGGUCUAUUUCCUAAUUGACAAAUAAGAAUUAGAAUUAUGUGCUUGCUUGCAAGCUUCUUCUGAUUGUAGGAAUCUGAAAAAUUAUCUUCAUUACGUGUUUGGAUUGAGUUAAUGGUUGGUUUUGUUAGUCAAUUUCAAUACAGCAUGGUGUGUUAACCAAUUUUCAGGAAUUCAAAGAUGUUGAUUUCAAAAUAAGCAUCGUUACUGCUAUGAUCUUCUAUUUUAUUAAAAGUGAUUUGAAGCAUGUUUAGUCUGUCAUUAAGUUGAAUCAUUUUAUUUUGUUGAAACUUAAAGGAUGGGAUUCCGUUUCCCUGAUUAAACGGUCUUUGUUUUAACUUAGUGCUAUGGCAUAUUUUGGACCACCCGCCUCUGAAAUUGUUGUAUUUUCCUUCAAUAGUUGCAAGUUUGAAGUCAGGAGGUCUUAAGAGUACCAUUUUGAUUAAAUUGAUGUGUACACGGUUUGAAUGG